UACGAAGGGGGCUAGCGUUGCUCGGAAUCACUUGGGCGGUAAAGGGCGCGUAGGUGGCUCGUGAAGCGAUGCGGUGAAAGUCCGAGGCUCAACCUCGGAUCGGCCGAUGCGGACUCGCGGGCUGCGAGCGUUGUAGAGGCGGGUGGAAUUCCGGGUGUAGCGGUGGAAUGCGUAGAGAUCCGGAAGAACACCGGUGGCGAAGGCGGCCCGCUGGGCAACUGCUGACACUGAUGCGCGACAGCGUGGGGACAAAC
rnacentral:rRNA from 1 species